GUGUAGCUUAAUGGGAACGAACUGGCCUAGAACACGAGAAACUUGAGUUCGAUUAUCUC
rnacentral:tRNA from 1 species